rnacentral:rRNA from 1 species
GGUUAAGCGACUAAGCGUACACGGUGGAUGCCCUGGCAGUCAGAGGCGAUGAAGGACGUGCUAAUCUGCGAUAAGCGUCGGUAAGGUGAUAUGAACCGUUAUAACCGGCGAUUUCCGAAUGGGGAAACCCAGUGUGAUUCGUCACACUAUCAUUAACUGAAUCCAUAGGUUAAUGAGGCGAACCGGGGGAACUGAAACAUCUAAGUACCCCGAGGAAAAGAAAUCAACCGAGAUUCCCCCAGUAGCGGCGAGCGAACGGGGAGCAGCCCAGAGCCUGAAUCAGUGUGUGUGUUAGUGGAAGCGUCUGGAAAGGCGCGCGAUACAGGGUGACAGCCCCGUACACAAAAAUGCACAUACUGUGAGCUCGAUGAGUAGGGCGGGACACGUGGUAUCCUGUCUGAAUAUGGGGGGACCAUCCUCCAAGGCUAAAUACUCCUGACUGACCGAUAGUGAACCAGUACCGUGAGGGAAAGGCGAAAAGAACCCCGGCGAGGGGAGUGAAAAAGAACCUGAAACCGUGUACGUACAAGCAGUGGGAGCCUCUUUAUGGGGUGACUGCGUACCUUUUGUAUAAUGGGUCAGCGACUUAUAUUCUGUAGCAAGGUUAACCGAAUAGGGGAGCCGAAGGGAAACCGAGUCUUAACUGGGCGUUAAGUUGCAGGGUAUAGACCCGAAACCCGGUGAUCUAGCCAUGGGCAGGUUGAAGGUUGGGUAACACUAACUGGAGGACCGAACCGACUAAUGUUGAAAAAUUAGCGGAUGACUUGUGGCUGGGGGUGAAAGGCCAAUCAAACCGGGAGAUAGCUGGUUCUCCCCGAAAGCUAUUUAGGUAGCGCCUCGUGAAUUCAUCUCCGGGGGUAGAGCACUGUUUCGGCAAGGGGGUCAUCCCGACUUACCAACCCGAUGCAAACUGCGAAUACCGGAGAAUGUUAUCACGGGAGACACACGGCGGGUGCUAACGUCCGUCGUGAAGAGGGAAACAACCCAGACCGCCAGCUAAGGUCCCAAAGUCAUGGUUAAGUGGGAAACGAUGUGGGAAGGCCCAGACAGCCAGGAUGUUGGCUUAGAAGCAGCCAUCAUUUAAAGAAAGCGUAAUAGCUCACUGGUCGAGUCGGCCUGCGCGGAAGAUGUAACGGGGCUAAACCAUGCACCGAAGCUGCGGCAGCGACGCUUAUGCGUUGUUGGGUAGGGGAGCGUUCUGUAAGCCUGUGAAGGUGUACUGUGAGGUAUGC